GAUGAACGCUGGCGGCGUGCCUAAUACAUGCAAGUCGAGCGAACGGACGAGAAGCUUGCUUCUCUGAUGUUAGCGGCGGACGGGUGAGUAACACGUGGAUAACCUACCUAUAAGACUGGGAUAACUUCGGGAAACCGGAGCUAAUACCGGAUAAUAUUUUGAACCGCAUGGUUCAAAAGUGAAAGACGGUCUUGCUGUCACUUAUAGAUGGAUCCGCGCUGCAUUAGCUAGUUGGUAAGGUAACGGCUUACCAAGGCAACGAUGCAUAGCCGACCUGAGAGGGUGAUCGGCCACACUGGAACUGAGACACGGUCCAGACUCCUACGGGAGGCAGCAGUAGGGAAUCUUCCGCAAUGGGCGAAAGCCUGACGGAGCAACGCCGCGUGAGUGAUGAAGGUCUUCGGAUCGUAAAACUCUGUCAUUAGGGAAGAACAUAUGUGUAAGUAACUGUGCACAUCUUGACGGUACCUAAUCAGAAAGCCACGGCUAACUACGUGCCAGCAGCCGCGGUAAUACGUAGGUGGCAAGCGUUAUCCGGAAUUAUUGGGCGUAAAGCGCGCGUAGGCGGUUUUUUAAGUCUGAUGUGAAAGCCCACGGCUCAACCGUGGAGGGUCAUUGGAAACUGGAAAACUUGAGUGCAGAAGAGGAAAGUGGAAUUCCAUGUGUAGCGGUGAAAUGCGCAGAGAUAUGGAGGAACACCAGUGGCGAAGGCGACUUUCUGGUCUGUAACUGACGCUGAUGUGCGAAAGCGUGGGGAUCAAACAGGAUUAGAUACCCUGGUAGUCCACGCCGUAAACGAUGAGUGCUAAGUGUUAGGGGGUUUCCGCCCCUUAGUGCUGCAGCUAACGCAUUAAGCACUCCGCCUGGGGAGUACGACCGCAAGGUUGAAACUCAAAGGAAUUGACGGGGACCCGCACAAGCGGUGGAGCAUGUGGUUUAAUUCGAAGCAACGCGAAGGACCUUACCAAAUCUUGACAUCCUUUGACAACUCUAGAGAUAGAGCCUUCCCCUUCGGGGGACAAAGUGACAGGUGGUGCAUGGUUGUCGUCAGCUCGUGUCGUGAGAUGUUGGGUUAAGUCCCGCAACGAGCGCAACCCUUAAGCUUAGUUGCCAUCAUUAAGUUGGGCACUCUAAGUUGACUGCCGGUGACAAACCGGAGGAAGGUGGGGAUGACGUCAAAUCAUCAUGCCCCUUAUGAUUUGGGCUACACACGUGCUACAAUGGACAAUACAAAGGGCAGCGAAACCGCGAGGUCAAGCAAAUCCCAUAAAGUUGUUCUCAGUUCGGAUUGUAGUCUGCAACUCGACUACAUGAAGCUGGAAUCGCUAGUAAUCGUAGAUCAGCAUGCUACGGUGAAUACGUUCCCGGGUCU
rnacentral:rRNA from 1 species